rnacentral:rRNA from 1 species
CAGGACGAACGCUGGCGGCGUGCUUAACACAUGCAAGUCGAACGGUGAAGCGGGUGCUUGCACUCGUGGAUCAGUGGCGAACGGGUGAGUAACACGUGAGUAACCUGCCCAUCACUCUGGGAUAAGCGCUGGAAACGGCGUCUAAUACUGGAUACGACCAACCCUUGCAUGGGGUGUUGGUGGAAAGAUUUAUCGGUGGUGGAUGGACUCGCGUCCUAUCAGCUUGUUGGUGGGGUAAUGGCCUACCAAGGCGACGACGGGUAGCCGGCCUGAGAGGGCGACCGGCCACACUGGGACUGAGACACGGCCCAGACUCCUACGGGAGGCAGCAGUGGGGAAUAUUGCACAAUGGGCGAAAGCCUGAUGCAGCGACGCCGCGUGAGGGAUGACGGCCUUCGGGUUGUAAACCUCUUUCAGCAGGGAAGAAGCUUUUGUGACGGUACCUGCAGAAGAAGCACCGGCUAACUACGUGCCAGCAGCCGCGGUAAUACGUAGGGUGCGAGCGUUGUCCGGAAUUAUUGGGCGUAAAGAGCUUGUAGGCGGUUUGUCGCGUCUGCUGUGAAAAUCUAGGGCUUAACCCUGGACGUGCAGUGGGUACGGGCAGACUAGAGUGUGGUAGGGGAGACUGGAAUUCCUGGUGUAGCGGUGGAAUGCGCAGAUAUCAGGAGGAACACCGAUGGCGAAGGCAGGUCUCUGGGCCAUUACUGACGCUGAGAAGCGAAAGCAUGGGGAGCGAACAGGAU